UACAGGGGGUGCAAACGUUGCUCGGAAUCAUUGGGCGUAAAGCGCACGUAGGCGGUUACUUAUGUCGGAUGUGAAAGCCCUCGGCUUAACUGAGGAAGUGCAUUCGAAACUGGGUAGCUAGAGUACUAAAGAGGGUCGCGGAAUUCCCGGUGUAGCGGUGAAAUGCGCAGAUAUCGGGAAGAACACCCGUGGCGAAGGCGGCUCUCUGGGACGGUACUGACGCUGAGACGCGAAAGCGUGGGGAGCGAACAGG
rnacentral:rRNA from 1 species